GGAUUCCCCGAGGAAGUUGUAAAGAGCCUGAGGCCCCGCAUUUGAGUGGGAGGCCACUGGGCCAGGCAGGCCAGGGGACAGGAGGACAGGAGCAGAGGCAGGCCAGGGCCAGGCAGAAGCCUGUGAGGCAGGAGUGGGCGAGCCCAGCAGGGCCUCCAAGGUCAUGGGAGUGUCUUAGACUCUCAAGGAUGGUGGGAGCCAUAGUAGGGUGUGGAGCAGGAAAGUAGCACAAUCACGUGUGCGUAUCUGCGUAUUUAAAUGUAUUUAAAUGCCUCAGGU
rnacentral:lncRNA from 10 species